rnacentral:rRNA from 1 species
UCCCUGGUGUGUUGGGAUAGGUGUGGGGGACAUUCCACGUUCUCCGCGCCGUAGCUAACGCAUUAAGUGCCCCGCCUGGGGAGUACGGCCGCAAGGCUAAAACUCAAAGGAAUUGACGGGGGCCCGCACAAGCGGCGGAGCAUGCGGAUUAAUUCGAUGCAACGCGAAGAACCUUACCAAGGCUUGACAUCCGCCGGACCGCCCCAGAGAUGGGGUUUCCCUUCGGGGCCGGUGGACAGGUGGUGCAUGGUUGUCGUCAGCUCGUGUCGUGAGAUGUUGGGUUAAGUCCCGCAACGAGCGCAACCCUCGUUCUAUGUUGCCAGCACGUGAUGGUGGGGACUCAUAGGAGACUGCCGGGGUCAACUCGGAGGAAGGUGGGGAUGACGUCAAAUCAUCAUGCCCCUUAUGUCUUGGGCUUCACGCAUGCUACAAUGGCCGGUACAAAGGGUUGCGAUACUGUGAGGUGGAGCUAAUCCCAAAAAGCCGGUCUCAGUUCGGAUUGAGGUCUGCAACUCGACCUCAUGAAGUCGGAGUCGCUAGUAAUCGCAGAUCAGCAACGCUGCGGUGAAUACGUUCCCGGGCCUUGUACACACCGCCCGUCAAGUCACGAAAGUUGGUAACACCCGAAGCCGGUGGCCUAACCCCUUGUGGGAGGGAGCCGUCGAAGGUGGGACUGGCGAUUGGGACUAAGUCGUAACAAGGUAACCGUAACCCCCCCU